AGUGAACGCUGGCGGUAGGCCUAACACAUGCAAGUCGAACGGCAGCACAGUAAGCGCUUGCUCUUACGGGUGGCGAGUGGCGGACGGGUGAGAAAUACAUAGGAAUCUACUUUUUCGUGGGGGAUAACGUAGGGAAACUUACACUACUACCGCAUACGACCUACGGGUGAAAGCAGGGGAUCUUCGGACCUUGCGCGAUUGAAUGAGCCGAUGUCGGAUUAGCUAGUUGGCGGGGUAAAGGCCCACCAAGGCGACGAUCCGUAGCUGGUCUGAGAGGAUGAUCAGCCACACUGGAACUGAGACACGGUCCAGACUCCUACGGGAGGCAGCAGUAGGGAAUAUUGGACAAUGGGCGCAAGCCUGAUCCAGCCAUACCGCGUGGGUGAAGAAGGCCUUCGGGUUGUAAAGCCCUUUUGUUGGGAAAGAAAAGCAGCAGGUUAAUACCCCGCUGUUCUGACGGUACCCAAAGAAUAAGCACCGGCUAACUUCGUG
rnacentral:rRNA from 1 species